rnacentral:rRNA from 1 species
GACGAACGCUGGCGGCGUGCUUAACACAUGCAAGUGGAGCGACGAACCGGGGCUUGCCCCGGGGCAGAGCCGCGAACGGGUGAGUAACACGUGGGUAACCUACCCCGAUGACCGGGACAACCCGAGGAAACUCGGGCUAAUACCGGAUGUGCUCGCCGCUCAUGAGAGCGACGAGUAAAGAUAGCUUUAGCCUUCGCAUCGGGACGGGCCCGCGGCCCAUUAGCUUGUUGGUGGGGUAACGGCCUACCAAGGCUUCGAUGGGUAGCUGGUCUGAGAGGACGAUCAGCCACACUGGGACUGAGACACGGCCCAGACUCCUACGGGAGGCAGCAGUGGGGAAUCUUGCGCAAUGCGCGAAAGCGUGACGCAGCAACGCCGCGUGGGGGAAGAAGGCUUUCGAGUUGUAAACCCCUUUCAGUUGGGACGAAGCUUCGUCGGUUAAUAGCCGACUGGAGUGACGGUACCUUCACAAGAAGCCCCGGCUAACUACGUGCCAGCCGCCGCAGUAAGAC